rnacentral:rRNA from 1 species
AACGAACGCUGGCGGCAGGCUUAACACAUGCAAGUCGAGCGCCCCGCAAGGGGGGCGGCAGACGGGUGAGUAACGCGUGGGAAUCUACCCAUCUCUACGGAAUAACGCAUGGAAACGUGUGCUAAUACCGUAUACGUCCUUCGGGAGAAAGAUUUAUCGGAGAUGGAUGAGCCCGCGUUGGAUUAGCUAGUUGGUGGGGUAAAGGCCUACCAAGGCGACGAUCCAUAGCUGGUCUGAGAGGAUGAUCAGCCACACUGGGACUGAGACACGGCCCAGACUCCUACGGGAGGCAGCAGGGGGGAAUAUUGGACAAUGGGCGCAAGCCUGAUCCAGCCAUGCCGCGUGAGUGAUGAAGGCCCUAGGGUUGUAGAGCUCUUUCACCGGUGAAGAUAAUGACGGUAACCGGAGAAGAAGCCCCGGCUAACUUCGUGCCAGCCGCCGCGGUAACAC